ensembl:lncRNA
GAGGUAGGGGGCGCAAAUGUUUGUGAUCAAAUGGAAACUCCUAUCGCAUACAAAACACGCUGCAGGUUCAGACAUGAGUCAGUGCUCUGAGCCGGACUACACAAGGUGCUGGCAGACAAGAUGAACAUCUCCACUCUCUCUGUGUGCUGCCUGAUCUCUUCUUGUUUCAUCAUAUCUGCUGUGAGCAGCCCGACAGCAGACUGUUGCCUCAGUCUGUCAGUGUCGCGACCAAGAAUCAAAAAUGUGAAAGACUACCACAUUCAGCCGCAGGGUGGACUCUGCCCUAUAGACGCAGUGGUUUUACUGACAAAGAGUGGCAAGCGGAUCUGUGCCAACCCCGACAGCCCCUGGGUGAAGGAUGCCAUGAAGAAAGUGAAUGAAGAGCGUGUGGGGCCCCCCGUCACUCAACAGGACCCUCCCAGGAGACGAAAGGGAAAAGGGAAAGGGAGGGGAAGGGGGAAGGGCAGAAGGGAGAGAGGAUCGAGGGCAGGAAGGCAGUAGACCCAAAAGCCCAACUGACCACACGAAUGGACACAGCAGAUACAGACAUUCUUUGCAUUCCAGAUGGAAAUGAUCCUUAACAGCUAAAUGUCUUAGAUGUGUGAUGCUAUAUUCCUGUAUUUGUAGAUUUUUGGGCCUCUUUAACUCUUUCAUGCAUGAAUUGAUCUAGAUUUUUUUUGUAUUGAUUUUAUUACUCAAAAUGAACCUAAACUUGAAAUUCAUUUUGAAUUUUUAAAAAAUAUGGUUUUAUUAAAAAUAUAUUUUACUGUCCACAUACGUGGACACCAUGCAACAAAGGGAUGGUAACGAAUACUUACCCAAGGUUAAAAAUCAUUAUUUUCACGUAAUUUAGUAAUUAUUUAUGUUGAUAUGUUUGUUGUAUGAUUGUUUCUUUCAUUUGAACAAUGCAAAUAAAAAAAAAUACCAGGUUUUAUAAUCA